rnacentral:rRNA from 1 species
AUUGAACGCUGGCGGCAUGCCUUACACAUGCAAGUCGAACGGCAGCACGGGAGCAAUCCUGGUGGCGAGUGGCGAACGGGUGAGUAAAGUAUCGGAACGUGCCCAGUCGUGGGGGAUAACGUAGCGAAAGUUACGCUAAUACCGCAUACGAUCUAUGGAUGAAAGCGGGGGAUCGCAAGACCUCGCGCGAUUGGAGCGGCCGAUAUCAGAUUAGGUAGUUGGUGGGGUAAAGGCUCACCAAGCCGACGAUCUGUAGCUGGUCUGAGAGGACGACCAGCCACACUGGGCCUGAGACACGGCCCAGACUCCUACGGGAGGCAGCAGUGGUGAAUUUUGGACAAUGGGCGCAAGCCUGAUCCAGCCAUGCCGCGUGCAGGAUGAAGGCCUUCGGGUUGUAAACUGCUUUUGUACGGAACGAAAAGGCUUGGCUUAAUACGUUGGACUCAUGACGGUACCGUAAGAAUAAGCACCGGCUAACUACGUGCCAGCAGCCGCAGUAA